rnacentral:rRNA from 1 species
UACGGGGGGGGCAAGCGUUGCUCGGAAUUACUGGGCGUAAAGGGCUCGUAGGCGGCCAACUAAGUCAGACGUGAAAUCCCCAGGCUCAACCUGGGAACUGCGUCUGAUACUGGAUGGCUUGAAUCCGGGAGAGGGAUGCAGAAUUCCAGGUGUAGCGGUGAAAUGCGUAGAUAUCGGAAAGAACACCAACGGCGAAAGCACUCUGCUGGGCCGACACUGACACUGAGAGACGAAAGCUAGGGGAGCGAAUGGG